GACGAACGCUGGCGGCGUGCUUAACACAUGCAAGUCGAACGGAAAGGCCCUGCUCUUGUUGGGUGCUCGAGUGGCGAACGGGUGAGUAACACGUGAGUAACAUGCCCUUGACUUUGGGAUAACUUCAGGAAACUGGGGCUAAUACCGGAUAGGAGCUCCUGCUGCAUGGUGGGGGUUGGUAAGUUUCGGCGGUUGGGGAUGGACUCGCGGCUUAUCAGCUUGUUGGUGGGGUAGUGGCUUACCAAGGCUUUGACGGGUAGCCGGCCUGAGAGGGGGACCGGCCACAAUGGGACUGAGAUACGGCCCAGACGCCUACGGGAGGCAGCAGGGGGGAGUAUUGCACAAUGGGCGGAAGCCAGAUGCAGCAACGCCGCGUGCGGGAUGACGGCCUUCGGGUUGUAAACCGCUUUCGCCUGUGACGAAGCGUGAGUGACGGUAAUGGGUAAAGAAGCACCGGCUAACUACGUG
rnacentral:rRNA from 1 species